rnacentral:tRNA from 1 species
GCGCCAGUGGUCCAGCCUGGUUAAUAGUUGCCAAUAGACGCGAGCCUUCCAAGCUUGCAACGGGGGUUCAAAUCCCCCCUGGCGCA